rnacentral:rRNA from 1 species
UACAGAGGUCUCGAGCGUUGUUCGGAAUUACUGGGCGUAAAGCGUGCGCAGGCGGCUUUGCAAGACAGAUGUGAAAUCCCCGGGCUUAACCUGGGAACUGCAUUUGUGACUGCAUGGCUGGAGUGCGGCAGAGGGGGAUGGAAUUCCGCGUGUAGCAGUGAAAUGCGUAGAUAUGCGGAGGAACACCGAUGGCGAAGGCAAUCCCCUGGGCCUGCACUGACGCUCAUGCACGAAAGCGUGGGGAGCAAACAGG